rnacentral:rRNA from 1 species
UGGGGGAUAUUGCACAAUGGGGGAAACCCUGAUGCAGCGACGCCGCGUGGAGGAAGAAGGUUUUCGGAUUGUAAACUCCUGUCGUUAGGGACGAUAAUGACGGUACCUAACAAGAAAGCACCGGCUAACUACGUGCCAGCAGCCGCGGUAAAACGUAGGGUGCAAGCGUUGUCCGGAAUUACUGGGUGUAAAGGGAGCGCAGGCGGACCGGCAAGUUGGAAGUGAAAACUAUGGGCUCAACCCAUAAAUUGCUUUCAAAACUGCUGGCCUUGAGUAGUGCAGAGGUAGGUGGAAUUCCCGGUGUAGCGGUGGAAUGCGUAGAUAUCGGGAGGAACACCAGUGGCGAAGGCGACCUACUGGGCACCAACUGACGCUGAGGCUCGAAAGCAUGGGUAGCAAACAGGAUUAGAUACCCUGGUAGUCCAUGCCGUAAACGAUGAUUACUAGGUGUUGGAGGAUUGACCCCUUCAGCGCCGCAGUUAACACAAUAAGUAAUCCACCUGGGGAGUACGACCGCAAGGUUGAAACUCAAAGGAAUUGACGGGGGCCCGCACAAGCAGUGGAGUAUGUGGUUUAAUUCGAAGCAACGCGAAGAACCUUACCAGGUCUUGACAUCCGAUGCAUAGCUUAGAGAUAAGUGAAGUCCUUCGGGACAUCGAGACAGGUGGUGCAUGGUUGUCGUCAGCUCGUGUCGUGAGAUGUUGGGUUAAGUCCCGCAACGAGCGCAACCCUUAUUGCCAGUUACUACGAAAGAGGACUCUGGCGAGACUGCCGUUGACAAAACGGAGGAAGGUGGGGAUGACGUCAAAUCAUCAUGCCCUUUAUGACCUGGGCUACACACGUACUACAAUGGCGUUUAACAAAGAGAAGCAAGACCGCGAGGUGGAGCAAAACUCAAAAACAACGUCUCAGUUCAGAUUGCAGGCUGCAACUCGCCUGCAUGAAGUCGGAAUUGCUAGUAAUCGCGGAUCAGCAUGCCGCGGUGAAUACGUUCCC